rnacentral:rRNA from 1 species
GUUGGCUUAGAAGCAGCCACUCAUUUAAAGAGUGCGUAAUAGCUCACUAGUCGAGAGAUCCUGCGCCGAAAAUGUCCGGGGCUCAAACUUACCACCGAAGCUACGGGCUUGCGUAAGCAAGCGGUAGGGGAGCGUCGUAAUCGGGCUGAAGUCGUACCGUAAGGAGCGGUGGACUGAUUACGAGUGAGAAUGUUGGCAUUAGUAGCGAGAUGUAGGUGAGAAUCCUACAGGCCGAAUAUCUAAGGUUUCCUCAGGAAGGCUCGUCCGCUGAGGGUUAGUCGGGACCUAAGCCGAGGCCGAAAGGCGUAGGCGAUGGACAAUCGGUUGAUAUUCCGAUACCACUACCAUCGUUAUUAUCGAGGGUGUGACGGAGAAGGAUAGUGUGUGCUAGCGAUUGGAAAUGCUAGUCUAAGCGUUUAGGGAGUUACGGUAGGCAAAUCCGCUGUAACAAUUCUGAGGCGUGAUGGGGAAGGCCAUAAGGCCGAAGUACAUGAUUCCAUGCUUCCAAGAAAAGCAUCUAGAGAGAGAAGUAGUGCCCGUACCGCAAACCGACACAGGUAGAUGAGGAGAGAAUCCUAAGGCCGGCGGAAGAAUUGCAGUUAAGGAACUAGGCAAAUUGACCCCGUAAGUUCGCGAGAAGGGGUGCCUGCGAGAGCAGGCCGCAGAGAAUAGGCCCAAGCAACUGUUUAGCAAAAACACAGGUCUCUGCUAAAGCGUAAGCUGAUGUAUAGGGGCUGACGCCUGCCCGGUGCUGGAAGGUUAAGGGGAAUACUUAGCGCAAGCGAAGGUAUGAACUUAAGCCCCAGUAAACGGCGGCCGUAACUAUAACGGUCCUAAGGUAGCGAAAUUCCUUGUCAGGUAAGUUCUGACCCGCACGAAUGGCGUAAUGACUUGGGCACUGUCUCAACUGCAAAUCCGGCGAAGUUGUAGUGCGAGUGAAGAUGCUCGCUACCCGCGAUUGGACGGAAAGACCCCGUAGAGCUUUACUGCAGCUUAGCAUUGAAUUCCGGUAUUGUCUGUACAGGAUAGGUGGGAGACUGGGAAACUAGGGCGUCAGCCUUAGUGGAGUCAACCUUGGGAUACCACCCUGACAGUACUGGGGUUCUAACAGGACGCCAUGAAUCUGGUGACUGGACAUUGUUAGGUGGGCAGUUUGACUGGGGCGGUCGCCUCCUAAAAAGUAACGGAGGCGCCCAAAGGUUCCCUCAGAACGGUCGGAAAUCGUUCGUAGAGUGCAAAGGCAGAAGGGAGCCUGACUGCGAGACCUACAAGUCGAGCAGGGACGAAAGUCGGGCUUAGUGAUCCGGUGGUACCUCGUGGGAGGGCCAUCGCUCAACGGAUAAAAGCUACCUCGGGGAUAACAGGCUGAUCUCCCCCAAGAGUCCACAU